ACACAUGCAAGUCGAGGGGCAGCGAGAUUGAAGCUUGCUUCAAUUGUCGGCGACCGGCGGACGGGUGCGUAACGCGUAUGCAACCUACCCAUAACAGGGGGAUAACACUGAGAAAUUGGUACUAAUACCCCAUAACAUCUCGAGUGGCAUCACUUGGGGUUGAAAGCUUCGGUGGUUAUGGAUGGGCAUGCGUUGUAUUAGCUAGUUGGAGAGGUAACGGCUCACCAAGGCGACGAUACAUAGGGGGACUGAGAGGUUAACCCCCCACAUUGGUACUGAGACACGGACCAAACUCCUACGGGAGGCAGCAGUGAGGAAUAUUGGUCAAUGGACGGAAGUCUGAACCAGCCAUGCCGCGUGCAGGAUGACGGCUCUAUGAGUUGUAAACUGCUUUUGUACGAGGGUAAACCCGAAUACGUGUAUUCGGCUGAAAGUAUCGUACGAAUAAGGAUCGGCUAACUCCGUGCCAGCAGCCGCGGUAAUACGGAGGAUCCAAGCGUUAUCCGGAUUUAUUGGGUUUAAAGGGAGCG
rnacentral:rRNA from 1 species